rnacentral:tRNA from 1 species
GCAUUGGUGGUUCAGUGGAAGAAUUCUCACCUUUUUUUUAUGCAGGAGACCUGGGUUUAAUUCCCAGCCAAUGCA